rnacentral:rRNA from 1 species
AUUGAACGCUGGCGGCAGGCCUAACACAUGCAAGUCGAGCGAGAAAGGUCUUCGGACUGAGUACAGCGGCGGACGGGUGAGUAAUGCGCAGGAAUCUACCUGGUAGUGGGGGAUAACUCGGGGAAACUCGAACUAAUACCGCAUACGCCCUACGGGGAAAGCGGGGGACCUUCGGGCCUCGCGCUAUCAGAUGAGCCUGCGUAGGAUUAGCUUGUUGGUGAGGUAAAGGCUCACCAAGGCGACGAUCCUUAGCUGGUCUGAGAGGAUGAUCAGCCACACUGGAACUGAGACACGGUCCAGACUCCUACGGGAGGCAGCAGUGGGGAAUAUUGCGCAAUGGGCGAAAGCCUGACGCAGCCAUGCCGCGUGUGUGAAGAAGGCCCUUGGGUUGUAAAGCACUUUAAGCGAGGAGGAAGGUUUUUAGUUUAAUACACUAAAGAAUUGACGUUACUCGCAGAAUAAGCACCGGCUAACUCUGUGCCAGCAGCCGCGGUAAAGUAG